UUGUUUCUUAUUUGGUGACUCAUCCCGUCCCAUAUGAUAUUUCUUUCGAUCUCGAUCGUCUAUUAUGCCUCAUUCUCGGAUAUACCUAGUAAGCCAUCCCUUUAUAAUCAGUUCUUCAAUCACAUCUUUUAGGUGGUUGCAUCCAUUAGUGUCAUGGGUUUGACUUUGUAGAAACAAUAAUGUUUUGAUUUAUCUGUCCUAGGUGACUCUCUAAUCGAAUAAGGGUUAUUGAUCCAAGUUUCUUUGAACUCAAUGUUUU
rnacentral:lncRNA from 1 species